rnacentral:lncRNA from 1 species
UCUGCCUGGCUGCGGCCGCCGGUAACAAGGUCUUGCCCCUCCGCGCAGAUUGAGAGCCUACAGCAUGGGAGAUGAGGACUGGGACACCGAGAUCCAGGACCGCGUGGCAUCCUUCCUACCAGACUUCCAGCAGCUGAUGCUGGUGUGGAACCUAACAGAAGUCAACUCAUGUGGGGUGACUUUGGUACUGGAAGGAGUUUUGGGAAUAGAGGGCACAAAUUUGAAGAAAGAAGAAACUCUGGAUUUGAGAGAGAAUCUACUGAAGAUGGCCAAGCAAGAGCGCCUUCAAGGAGAGGAGGUAAGGUACAAAGGUGAAGUGACACUGAUAGCAGAUCUGUUUGUUCUAUUUCCAGGGGAGUCUAACAUU